rnacentral:rRNA from 1 species
GAUGAACGCUGGCGGCGUGCCUAAUACAUGCAAGUCGAGCGAACAGACGAGGAACUUGCUCCUCUGACGUUAGCGGCGGACGGGUGAGUAACACGUGGAUAACCUACCUAUAAGACUGGGAUAACUUCGGGAAACCGGAGCUAAUACCGGAUAAUAUAUUGAACCGCAUGGUUCAAUAGUGAAAGACGGUUUUGCUGUCACUUAUAGAUGGAUCCGCGCCGCAUUAGCUAGUUGGUAAGGUAACGGCUUACCAAGGCGCCGAUGCGUAGCCGACCUGAGAGGGUGACCGGCCACACUGGAAGUGAGAAACGGUCCAGACUCCUACGGGAGGCAGCAGUAGGGAAUCUUCCGCAAUGGGCGAAAGCCUGACGGAGCAACGCGGCGUGAGUGAUGAAGGUCUUCGGAUCGUAAAACUCUGUUAUUAGGGAAGAACAAAUGUGUAAGUAACUAUGCACGUCUUGACGGUACCUAAUCAGAAAGCCACGGCUAACUACGUG